GGCGGCAGGCUUAACACAUGCAAGUCGAACGAGAAGCCGGGCUUCGGCCCGGUGGACAGUGGCGCACGGGUGAGUAACGCGUGGGAACCUGCCCAUGAGUGGGGAAAAACGGUUGGAAACGACCGCUAAUUCCGCAUACGCCCUACGGGGGAAAGGCUUCGGCCGCUCAUGGAUGGGCCCGCGUCCGAUUAGCUUGUUGGUGAGGUAAUGGCUCACCAAGGCGACGAUCGGUAGCUGGUCUGAGAGGACGAUCAGCCACAUUGGGACUGAGACACGGCCCAGACUCCUACGGGAGGCAGCAGUGGGGAAUAUUGGACAAUGGGCGAAAGCCUGAUCCAGCCAUGCCGCGUGAGUGAUUUGAAGGCCCUAGGGUUGUAAAGCUCUUUCGGCGGGGAAGAUGAUGACGGUACCCGCAGAAGAAGCCCCGGCUAACUCCGUGCCAGCAGCCGCGGUAAUACGGAGGGGGCUAGCGUUGCUCGGAAUCACUGGGCGUAAAGCGAGCGUAGGCGGCCGCGCAAGUCGGGGGUGAAAGCCCGGGGCUCAACCCCGGAACUGCCCUCGAAACUGCGUGGCUAGAGGCCGG
rnacentral:rRNA from 1 species